GCUUACGGCCACACCGCCUGGGCCCACGCCCGAUCUCGUUUGAUCUCGGAAGCUAAGAUAGGGUGGGCCUGGUUAGUACUUGGAUGGGAGACCGCCUGGGAAUACCAGGUGCUUGUAAGAU
ensembl:rRNA 5S_rRNA 5S ribosomal RNA